CUUUUUUUUACAACAUGGUGCCUUGUGCCGCCCAUAUGUCCGGGGGUCCAUGCUCAUUAGUCAAGUUGCUUUUUCCGAUUGCCGCAACACCAAGAGCCUGCAUACAGAGAGUUUUGUAGGUUAGUAGGUGUCGGGGCAAGGGGUUAGUAGAAAAAGGAGAGGAAGAGCAAAACUCUCUAUUCUGAGCAAUUGAGCCCGCGGGAAUUGUUUUUGAGCACAUAC
ensembl:ncRNA F59C6.17 ncRNA